CGCGGCCUAUCAGCUUGUUGGUGAGGUAACGGCUCACCAAGGCAACGACGGGUAGCUGGUCUGAGAGGAUGAUCAGCCACACUGGGACUGAGACACGGCCCAGACUCUUACGGGAGGCAGCAGCAGGGAAUAUUGCACAAUGGGCGAAAGCCUGAUGCAGCGACGCCGCGUGAGGGAUGAAGGCCUUCGGGUUGUAAACCUCUUUCAGGAGGGACGAAGCGAAAGUGACGGUACCUUCAGAAGAAGCCCCGGCCAACUACGUGCCAGCAGCUGCGGUAAUACGUAGGGGGCGAGCGUUGUCCGGAUUCAUUGGGCGUAAAGAGCUCGUAGGCGGCUCGGUAAGUCGGUCGUGAAAGCCCGGGGCUCAACCCCGGGACGCCGGUCGAAACUGCUGUGGCUAGGGUCCGGUAGAGGAGAGUGGAAUUCCCGGUGUAGCGGUGAAAUGCGCAGAUAUCGGGAGGAACACCAGUAGCGAAGGCGGCUCUCUGGGCCGGUACCGACGCUGAGGAGCGAAAGCUAGGGGAGCAAACAGGAUUAGAUACCCUGGUAGUCCUAGCCGUAAACGUUGGGCACUAGGUGUGGCGGAUUCAUUGAUGUCUGCCGUGCCGUAGCUAACGCAUUAAGUGCCCCGCCUGGGGAGUACGG
rnacentral:rRNA from 1 species